UGUGCAGACACAGAAAACAAACAGUCAGAGUCUGAGACAAUCUGGGAGUAGUGAGUAGUAGCAGAGUUCAUCAUGGAUAAAAGAAUACUUUGCUGGAUAUGUCUGCUGGCAUAUUUUCAGACAUCUUUGGCACAAACAACCACAACUGCAGCACCAACCACAACAACUACAACUGCAGCACCAGCAACCAUAACUGCAGCGCCAACCACUACAACUGCACCAACAACCACUACAACUGCAACGCUAACCGCAACUGCAGCACCAACCACACCUGCGUCACCAACAACCACUGCAGCACCAACAACCACUACAACUGCAGCACCAGCAACUAUAACUGCAGCGCCAACCACUACAACUGCACCAACAACCACUACAACUGCAACGCUAACCGCAACUGCAGCACCAACCACACCUGCGUCACCAACAACCACUGCAGCACCAACAACCACUACAACUGCAGCACCAGCAACCAUAACUGCAGCACCAACCACUACAACUGCACCAACAACCACUACAACUGCAACGCUAACCGCAACUGCAGCACCAACCACACCUGCAUCACCAACAACCACUGCAGCACCAACAACCACUACAACUGCAGCACCAGCAACCAUAACUGCAGCGCCAUUCACUACAACUGCACCACCAACAACAACCACUACAGCUGCAGCACCGGCAACCAUAACUGCAACAGUAACCACAACUACUGCACCAACAACCACAACACUAACCACCACUACAACUGCAGCACCAACCACCACUACAACUAUAACACCAACCACAACUGCAGCACCGGCAACCACAACUGCAGCACCAACGAAUACAACUACAGCAACAACCACAACUGCACUACCAACCACCACUACAACUACAGCACCAACCAACACAACUACAACACCAACCAUAACUGCAGCACCAACAACCACAACUGCAGCACCAACAACCACAACUGCAGCGCCAACUACUACAACUACAACUAAAACUGCAGCACAAAGCACCACAACCCCUACAGAAGGGUCAACCACCAUUCAAAGUAUGUGAUUUAAAUUAAAAGUACUUAAUGUGUGCAACAGUUUCUCUUCCUACCUUCUGUUGUCCUUCCAACAUUCACACUCUAAUACUAGGGUGGGAAACUCCAGGCCUCAAGGGUUGAAGUCCUGCAGGUUUUAGAUCUCACCCUGGGUCAACACACUGGAAUCAAAUGAUUAGUUCAUUACCAGGCCACUGCAGAAUUUCAAGACAUGGUGAGGAGGUAAUUUAGCCAUUUAAAUUAGCUGCGGUGGUUCUAAAACCCGCAGGACACCAGCACUUGAGGCCUGGAGUUCCCCCACCCAGGGUUGGACUGGGACAAAAAAACGGCCUAAGCAUUUUGACUAGAGACCAGCCCACAAAGUACUAUAGGAAAAGCCAUAAAGCCUCAAAUGCUGUUGUGACUCCUGGUUUCAUCUAAAAAUCUAAAAAUGUUAUAGUGUAAUUGUUUCAGUAUUGAGGGAAAUGUGCCUUAUAGCAAUAAUCAAAUGCAUUUUAUGAUGUAUAAUUACUUUACACUUACCAAUUAUACUUUUAUAAUUCUUUUUUUCAGUUCCAACAGGCCCACAAGCACUUGCACAUCUAAAGAUAAAGAUGACUACAUACGGGCAGGUUAGCAAUGCAACCAUCAUUGCCCUUCUUGAACAGGUAUAGCUAUAUCUUAAAGUUUGCUUCGUACAUUCUUGACUUAUCAGUAAUUUCACACACACAAAUCAUGUGUUAAAAAUUCAAAUGUUUAAUCUCUGUGUUUUCUUUCCAUUUAGUUUAACACCAAGGUCCUGAAUGGUAUACCCCACAUUCUCUCUGUGACAAACAUUAAAAAAGUUGGAGCAUAAAAAUUGAAUGUGGACACAAGUCAAAAAUAAAAAUAUAAAGGCAAGAAUUUAACAGUGAGUUAGUAGAUUUGUUUCAACAUGAUCCGGAGCGGCAGUUUGCCUCAGUCGCUUCAUCAUAUCCUGAAUGAUUAGUACGUUGGUGUGAGAAGGAGACAUCAGCUGUGCUGCAGUGGUCGACAGCCAGAUGGGCUUGGAUUGCUCUGUGAAUGUAUGAAACCUAAACCUGGGUGAAAGCAGAUCAUAUUUAAAUAUCAAUCCCCUUACAUGAUCAUUUCUGAAAUUAAAUCAAACUGCAGAAACACAAUGCUGUAGUUCCCAUGAAUUACAAAUGCGCUUUUGGUUUAUCAUCUUGAAAAGUACAAUAGGCAUCUCAAACCAGGCAGCUGGCUAAUAAUGUCAAUACUUACUCACUCUGACAAAAUGGUGACUAGGAAAUCAAAUAAUUUAUAUGCUUUGAAACAAAAAAAAUAUUUUAUUUAUUGGUUACGUGUUUUAGUAAUAUCACUUUUGAGUCAUUUAAAAGUACAGAUCCGGAAAAGCAUUAAUUGUACUGCACACACAGCUAGGCCUCUGAGAAAGUGGGUGACACUCAGUGGGUGAGAAUUCCACAGGUGUUAACUUACUGCUCACCGUGUCAAUAGAUUUUAAUUAAAUUUCUGUAACAGAUUCUUGUUAACUCGGCUUUUCCACAUGGAAAACAAGGAAAAUUAUUACUGUUGGUGCAUAAAUACUGCACCCUAAUGAAGAAAAUAAAUCAGUUUUCAGAUAUUACUGACCAACAACACACUUUUUCCCCCUUUGUGGUAUUAGAAUCAAAUCUGUUUUUCAGAAUUUGUUUUUGUAUGUCUGCUGAUUUGUACUGUACUUUAAACUGUGACUAAAUUUUACAAACUUGUCACUCCUGCUACUAAAGUCUCAUAUACACAGAAAUAUAUCUGAUUCUGAUUAUUCUGAAUAAAGAGAUAUAACCAUUUGUAAUGGCCAUUCUUUGUAUCAUUUAUUCUUUCAGAAUUCUUUUUAAAUGAAACUUUAUUCAACUUGUGAAUUUAAAGCAGAUUUAUACCCAUAUACAGAAUAUCAAGAACAACAGCUGUUAGAAA
ensembl:lncRNA